rnacentral:rRNA from 1 species
GACGAACGCUGGCGGCGUGCUUAACACAUGCAAGUCGAACGGAAAGGCCCCUUUGGGGGUACUCGAGUGGCGAACGGGUGAGUAACACGUGAGUAACCUGCCCUUGACUUCGGGAUAACUUCAGGAAACUGGGGCUAAUACCGGAUAGGAAUCCUUGCUGCAUGGUGGGGGUUGGAAAGCUUCGGCGGUUUUGGAUGGACUCACGGCUUAUCAGCUUGUUGGUGGGGUAGUGGCUUACCAAGGCUUUGACGGGUAGCCGGCCUGAGAGGGCGACCGGCCACAUUGGGACUGAGAUACGGCCCAGACUCCUACGGGAGGCAGCAGGGGGGAAUAUUGCACAAUGGGCGGAAGCCUGAUGCAGCAACGCCGCGUGCGGGAUGACGGCCUUCGGGUUGUAAACCGCUUUCAGCAGGGGCGAAGCUUGUGGUGACGGUACCUGCAGAAGAAGCACCGGCUAACUACGUG